UACAGAGGUCUCAAGCGUUGUUCGGAUUCAUUGGGCGUAAAGGGUGCGUAGGCGGUGAGGUAAGUCGGAUGUGAAAUCCCGGGGCUUAACCCCGGAACUGCAUUCGAUACUGCCUUGCUUGAGCACUGGAGAGGAGACUGGAAUUUACGGUGUAGCAGUGAAAUGCGUAGAUAUCGCAAGAACACCAGUGGCGAAGGCGGCUCACUGGCCCGGUACUGACGCUGAGGUGCGAAAGCGUGGGGAGCAAACAGG
rnacentral:rRNA from 1 species